rnacentral:rRNA from 1 species
AACGAACGCUGGCGGCAUGCCUAACACAUGCAAGUCGAACGAGACCUUCGGGUCUAGUGGCGCACGGGUGCGUAACGCGUGGGAACCUGCCCUUAGGUUCGGAAUAACUCCCCGAAAGGGGUGCUAAUACCGGAUAAUGUCUUCGGACCAAAGAUUUAUCGCCUUUGGAUGGGCCCGCGUUGGAUUAGCUAGUUGGUAGGGUAAAAGCCUACCAAGGCGACGAUCCAUAGCUGGUCUGAGAGGAUGAUCAGCCACACUGGGACUGAGACACGGCCCAGACUCCUACGGGAGGCAGCAGUGGGGAAUAUUGGACGAUGGGCGAAAGCCUGAUCCAGCAAUGCCGCGUGAGUGAUGAAGGCCUUAGGGUUGUAAAGCUCUUCUACCCGGGAUGAUAAUGACAGUACCGGGAGAAUAAGCUCCGGCUAACUCCGUG